rnacentral:tRNA from 1 species
GGUUAUGGCUCAGCGGUAGAGAGCUUGCCUCGAAUGUGCAAGGCCCUGGGUUCGACCCUCAGCACCA